rnacentral:lncRNA from 1 species
UGAGAGUUUCAGGCCAUAGCAGAAGUGCUCAUGGCGCAGUCCUGUCAGAUUCCAACAAAUCUAUGAAUUCUGCU